rnacentral:rRNA from 1 species
CCUACGGGAGGCAGCAGUGAGGAAUAUUGGUCAAUGGACGCAAGUCUGAACCAGCCAUGCCGCGUGCAGGAAGACGGCUCUAUGAGUUGUAAACUGCUUUUGUACGAGGGUAAACGCAGAUACGCGUAUCUGUCUGAAAGUAUCGUACGAAUAAGGAUCGGCUAACUCCGUGCCAGCAGCCGCGGUAAUACGGAGGAUUCAAGCGUUAUCCGGAUUUAUUGGGUUUAAAGGGUGCGUAGGCUGUGAGGUAAGUCAGCGGUGAAAUGCCCCCGCUCAACGGGGUGAAGUGCCAUUGAUACUGCCUUGCUGGAAUGCGGAUGCCGUGGGAGGAAUGUGUGGUGUAGCGGUGAAAUGCAUAGAUAUCACACAGAACACCGAUUGCGAAGGCAUCUCACGAAUCCGCGAUUGACGCUGAUGCACGAAAGCGUGGGUAUCAAACAGGAUUAGAUACCCUGGUAGUC